rnacentral:lncRNA from 1 species
GGGUGGAGUCUCCCUGCAAUCAAAGUUAAAGGUGAAGUCCGGCUCCCGUAGGAGUCCGGACGGGGCUUACCAGCAGUUGACGCUGAGGACGGAGCCCGGCUCCCGUAGGAGUCCGGGCGGAGUCCACUUGAGGUCGAAGUUGUCGGCAGAGUCCGGCUCCCGUAGGAGUCCGGACGAAGUCUGUCUGCAGCCGUUGGAGUCGAGGACGAAGCUCGGCUCCCGUAGGAGUCC